GUGGCGAUGUACGACGUGGGAGUAGAAUUCACUUCAGGUUCACCAUAGAAGUAGUAAACGGAAACAACAAAAAGACGUUCAACCUUCGCGUUACAACUCUCACAACGGACCAACGUUUAGCGUCUGUUUCAGACUUCAAAAUGCGUUACGUGGCCGCCUACCUGUUGGCAGCGCUGGGUGGCAACACCAACCCCAGCAGUCAGAACAUCAAGGACAUCCUGGGCAGUGUUGGCAUCGAGGCUGAUGACCAGCGCCUGGCUAAGGUGGGACACACCGAGAGAGAGACAGCUGGUAGUAAACCCUCACUCUGUUGAGUUGUUCUGGCUAAGGUGGGACACACUGAGAGAGAGAGACAGCUGGUAGUAAACCCUCACUCUGUUGAGUUGUUCUGGCUAAGGUGGGACACACUGAGAGAGAGACAGCUGGUAGUAAACCCUCACUCUGUUGAGUUGUUCUGGCUAAGGUGGGACACACCGAGAGAGAGACAGCUGGUAGUAAACCCUCACUCUGUUGAGUUGUUCUGGCUAAGGUGGGACACACCGAGAGAGAGUGACAGCUGGUAGUAAACCCUCACUCUGUUGAGUUGUUCUGGCUAAGGUGGGACACACUGAGAGAGAGAGAUAUAGCUGGUAGUAAACCCUCGCUCUGUUGAGUUGUUCUGGCUAAGGUGGGACACACCGAGAGAGAGACAGCUGGUAGUAAACCCUCACUCUGUUGAGUUGUUCUGGCUAAGGUGGGACACACCGAGAGAGAGUGACAGCUGGUAGUAAACCCUCACUCUGUUGAGUUGUUCUGGCUAAGGUGGGACACACCGAGAGAGACAGCUGGUAGUAAACCCUCACUCUGUUGAGUUGUUCUGGCUAAGGUGGGACACACCGAGAGAGAGACAGCUGGUAGUAAACCCUCACUCUGUUGAGUUGUUCUGGC